ACCUAAUCUCUAAGAACCCAAACGGCGCUGCCCUUCCCCAUCCGAUCCCUGCAGCGUUUCAACCCAUCAAAACUCGCCAAACUCAGGUGAGUUCACUCGCACACGCCCUUAUCCCACCACAUCAUCAAGAUGCUAGCGGUCUCUGAUAGAUUCCCUCUUCCUCACAUGCCUUUUCCUUGGCUUUUUGGAUUUUUACUCCUUAGACCGAAAUUAGGAAAAAUGGGGGGCGUAGGAUUGAGUGAAGUUGGAUCCACUCCCUCUAUUUGUCCCUUUUCCAUAAAAAAAGGGGGUAAAAAAUCAGAUUCGGCUGUUUGGAGAAAAAUUCGGAUAUUUCUUGGGGAGGAAGUGUAGAAGCUUCGAGAGGUGAGUAUAUAUAGUUGUUUUCUCAGAGGUUUCAGGGGAUUUUUUGGAUAGAAAAUUUGGAGAGGAAAAUUAGGGUUCUAGGAAAUGUUCUUCUUCUUCCUUUUUAUUCAUCUUCGUUUUUAGUUUAAUUCCAGAAACAAUACAAAAAUACAAAAAUAUUUGUUUCUUUUAGUUUGAUAUUCGCAUCUCUGUUUUUUUCAUCUUUAAAUCCGGAAAGUUCACUUUUACUAUGGAGUUCGAUUGAGUUCGAAAGUUGAGGUCUGUUCGAAGGUCACGGUUGCAGUUCUGAGGUUAAUUUGCUAUUUUGUACGUACCAACUUCUCACAUAUUGAAGAAAGUUCAUUACAGAUUCCGGUACUGGAGCAUACAGACCUUAGCUAGGGGUUGCUGCUGUCAGUCCAUCAGGAGACCCGAGGCUGUGGCACGGCAGCUUCUCCGGUGGAGUUAGCUUCUCUUCUCUGACAUUUUCUUUAGCGAGGUACAUCUGGCUAUUAGACCGGUGCGCAUCCCUGAUCAUAGUCCGAGACUUCCAUGGUGAGCUGCUUCCCUUCCUGUGCCGAUUAGCAGUUGGAUGGAGUCUUUCUUACUUUUGAUUGUCUAUUCUAUUUCAGACAAUAGGAUAGACGUAUUAUUUAUAUAUUCUACUAGUUGCCCACAGCUUGUGACACUAGUUCUUGGCACACACUUUAGUAGACAGUUCUUUUGAGUUGUAUAACUAUUAUUAAAUAUUGCCUAUUAUUACCUAUUUUAAUUGCAAAUUAAGAAAAAUAUUGUAACUUUUU